rnacentral:rRNA from 1 species
CACACGACUCUCGGCAACGGAUAUCUCGGCUCUCGCAUCGAUGAAGAACGUAGCGAAAUGCGAUACCUGGUGUGAAUUGCAGAAUCCCGCGAACCAUCGAGUCUUUGAACGCAAGUUGCGCCCGAGGCCUUUUGGCUAAGGGCACGCCUGCCUGGGCGUCAC